AUACGUAGGGUGCGAGCGUUGUCCGGAAUUACUGGGCGUAAAGAGCUCGUAGGCGGUUUGUCACGUCGUCUGUGAAAUCCCUCGGCUUAACCGGGGGCGUGCAGGCGAUACGGGCAGACUUGAGUACUACAGGGGAGACUGGAAUUCCUGGUGUAGCGGUGAAAUGCGCAGAUAUCAGGAGGAACACCGGUGGCGAAGGCGGGUCUCUGGGUAGUAACUGACGCUGAGGAGCGAAAGCAUGGGUAGCGAACAGGAUUAGAUACCCUGGUAGUCCAUGCCGUAAACGGUGGGCGCUAGGUGUGGGGUCCUUCCACGGAUUCCGUGCCGUAGCUAACGCAUUAAGCGCCCCGCCUGGGGAGUACGGCCGCAAGGCUAAA
rnacentral:rRNA from 1 species